AAGAUCUACAUUCUUCAUAGUUCAUAUCGAUCGAUAUAUAGGAAUACGUAUGCAUGGAUCAGUUUAAUUUCAUCUUCUUUGCUUGUUUUCAAUUUUCUAUGUGGUAUCAGUACAGGUGGGAAUAGGCUAUGCAAAUAAGGUCGAUGAUGGCAAAUCCUGGAUGUUUUACUGGAAUUCAGCUAUGCCAAAAUCUCCAUUGCCUUCUAAAGCUGUACAGCAAGUCCUAAACCCUGCAGUAGGUGAAAGAAGUUAAGCUGGGAUUGGAAAGGAUGCUGUAAAUCUUACACCACAAGCAUGCUAUCGUGUUGGUACCGUACGUCUACGCUGCAUCUGCAGACAGAAGAAAUCAAAGUGGAGCCACUGAGCCAGGUUUAACUACAUACUUUUAAGAAAAAGAUCUUCAGCAUUUGGGAAAAACGGUGACAAUGCGAUUCUUGAAACCCACAAGUAACAAGGCAGCUCUUGUUGCCGGAAAUUCUAACCUACUUUGGGGUGAAACCCAAGUCAGGUUAUGCAGAAAUAAUGGAAAGCACAAUCGGAGACUAUGAGAAACCGGCCAUUAAUUAAGGCCGAAGACAAGCACUGCACAACAUUGCUAGAAUCCUUGAUCGAUUUCACGGUUUCUAAGCUCGGGAAGCAUGUCCAAGUGUAUUCAACCGAGGCUGAAGAUCGAUGAAAGCAAACAAGAAUAUAGCGUUGAGACUACUGGAUCACAAAGUACUGGAGACAUACAGGUUGGUUGUGUGCCAUAAGGAGAACUAUGUUUAUGGUGUGUUUUACUGACACCAAUUCUACGGCACAACAACAAAGGCGUACAUGGUUCCUUUGGUGGCUGGUGAUCGAUGGAGUUACAAAAGCCAAAGCAGUAGCUAUUUGCCAUAUUGACACCACUGGCUGGAACCCUAAGCAUUUGGCCUUUCGAGUCUUAAAAUUAAAGCCGGGAAAUACAGUCCCAGUCUAGUGAAAAUAUACAAUCCCAAAAAAACAAAA